rnacentral:rRNA from 1 species
AUUGAACGCUGGCGGCAGGCUUAACACAUGCAAGUCGAGCGGAGAUGAGGUGCUUGCACCUUAUCUUAGCGGCGGACGGGUGAGUAAUGCUUAGGAAUCUGCCUGGUAGUGGGGGACAACGUUUCGAAAGGAACGCUAAUACCGCAUACGUCCUACGGGAGAAAGCAGGGGACCUUCGGGCCUCGCGCUAUCAGAUGAGCCUAGGUCGGAUUAGCUAGUUGGUGGGGUAAUGGCUCACCAAGGCGACGAUCCGUAACUGGCCUGGGAGGAUGAGCAGUCACACUGGAACGGGGACACGGUCCAGACUCCUACGGGAGGCAGCAGUGGGGAAUAUUGGACAAUGGGCGAAAGCCUGAUCCAGCCAUGCCGCGUGUGUGAAGAAGGCCUUUUGGUUGUAAAGCACUUUAAGCGAGGAGGAGGCUACCGAGAUUAAUACUCUUGGAUAGUGGACGUUACUCGCAGAAUAAGCACCGGCUAACUCUGUGCCAGCCGCCGCGGUAAAAC